rnacentral:rRNA from 1 species
GACAGAGGGUGCAAACGUUUGUUCGGAAUUACUGGGCGUAAAGCGCGUGUAGGCGGCUCUGUAAGUCGGGUGUGAAAUCCCACGGCUCAACCGUGGAAGUGCACUCGAAACUACAGGGCUAGAGUCCUGGAGAGGAAGGUGGAAUGCUUGGUGUAGAGGUGAAAUUCGUAGAUAUCAAGCGGAACACCGGUGGCGAAGGCAGCUUGCUGGGCCACUCCUGACACUGAGGUACGAAAGCGUGGGGAGCGAACAGG